ACAUGGGAAGGUUUAGCCCUGUUCAAAUGGCAACUACCUUUCUUCUUUUCUCCUAUGUCUUUUUUUGUUGGUGGUCUCUUAUGCCACUUUUGGUUUGUCUUACAGUAACUAAGUAGUUCCUUGACAUGGAAAAUUGGAGAUUUCUUCCAAAGACAAAGGAUGUGAUGCUCACAAACAUUUCAUUUAAGCAGACUAUGAUUUAAAGACACCCUGGAUGCAAGAAUAUUUAUAUGGUUCUAAAAGGGAUCAGAACCAAAAAAACCAAUGAGAUGGAAAAUUUCAACCAUGCUGGUUAAGCAGAAGCUGAAGCAACUUCCAUCUGCAGUAUAAAAUGAUCAGAAACCCACAUUUUUUUGACAAUGCAAGUAAUUUGUUGUAUGAGUAGCUGCAGUAUUUAUAUGUUCGCCAAUGGGUUGAGUUUUGUAAUUGAUUUUCAGGGUGAUCUGUAGCAUUAUAGUGUGACAUGGGUUUUCUCUUUGUAACAUUGCUAUUCUGAUCAAUUCAAGUGGUGUUCGCUUCA